CAUAUUUAGUCAUUCAUUUUUGAUCAGGAGAAAGAAGACAGCCAUCACUUGAAAGGUAAAGCUUCAGUGACUGAAGGAGUGUGGACUUUUUGAAUUUCAAGAACAAUAAAGUUGGAACACAGCAGAGGGUGUGUAAUAAAAGACAAUAUAGACCUAGCUCAAUGUCAUGUGGACCAUGUGGACCAAAACCAGAAAGCUUUUGCUGAACUACCAGUGUGGGUGAGGUACUCUCCUGUGAAGUAUCCUCUCAUGUAGUUCUCACUGCAUGAGUUACGUUCCUGUAUACUAUAGGCACUCAUCCUUCUUUCUUUGUUUUAGGUUGAAAAUGUCAUAAAUAACUCUGUUUGAUGAGAAAGAAGAACUAAUAGAAUGUAAAAGGCUGAAGGGAUAUAAAAGAAAGAUAAUUAAUGAAAUUAGUUUUAUAAAAAUAUUCCUAAUUAGAGUCCUUUAAAUGGGAUACUCUUCAUAGGCCCAUAAAUUAUUAUAUGGUUUUAUAAAAGAAAUAGAUUCCUUCUAAGAUGUACUUCAGUUGUAGAAAUCAA
rnacentral:lncRNA from 1 species